rnacentral:rRNA from 1 species
CGCGAAUGGCUCAUUACAACAGUAAUAAUUGACUUGACGAUAUAUUCCUUAAAUGGAUAACUGUGGUAAUUCUAGAGCUAAUACAUGAAUUUAAGCAGAGUGUCUUUGGCGCUCUGUUCAUUUAUUAGACCAAAACCAAGCGGCCUCGGUCGUUUAUUUCGGUGACUCGUAGUAAUUUCGUUGAUCACAUGAUCUUGUAUCGGUGACACGUCUAUCAAGUUUCUGCCCUAUCAACUUUUGAUGGCUCUUUAUUGGAGAACCAUGGUUAUAACGGGUAACGGAGAAUUAGGGUUCGACUCCGGAGAGGGAGCCUGAGAAACGGCUACCACAUCCAAGGAAGGCAGCAGGCGCGAAAAUUACCCACUCUCAGUGCGAGGAGGUAGUGACGAAAAAUAACAAGGCUGAUCGCUUUGCGAGCAGCUAUUGGAAUGGGUACAAUUUAAACCCUUUAACGGGGACCUAUGAGAGGGCAAGUCUGGUGCCAGCAGCCGCGGUAAUUCCAGCU